UAAAGCGCACGCAGGCGGUCUGUCAAGUCGGAUGUGAAAUCCCCGGGCUCAACCUGGGAACUGCAUUCGAAACUGGCAGGCUUGAGUCUUGUAGAGGGGGGUAGAAUUCCAGGUGUAGCGGUGAAAUGCGUAGAGAUCUGGAGGAAUACCGGUGGCGAAGGCGGCCCCCUGGACAAAGACUGACGCUCAGGUGCGAAAGCGUGGGGAGCAAACAGGAUUAGAUACCCUGGUAGUCCACGCCGUAAACGAUGUCUACUUGGAGGUUGUGCCCUUGAGGCGUGGCUUCCGGAGCUAACGCGUUAAGUAGACCGCCUGGGGAGUACGGCCGCAAGGUUAAAACUCAAAUGAAUUGACGGGGGCCCGCACAAGCGGUGGAGCAUGUGGUUUAAUUCGAUGCAACGCGAAGAACCUUACCUGGUCUUGACAUCCACGGAAGUUUUCAGAGAUGAGAAUGUGCCUUCGGGAACCGUGAGACAGGUGCUGCAUGGCUGUCGUCAGCUCGUGUUGUGAAAUGUUGGGUUAAGUCCCGCAACGAGCGCAACCCUUAUCCUUUGUUGCCAGCGGUCCGGCCGGGAACUCAAAGGAGACUGCCAGUGAUAAACUGGAGGAAGGUGGGGAUGACGUCAAGUCAUCAUGGCCCUUACGACCAGGGCUACACACGUGCUACAAUGGCGCAUACAAAGAGAAGCGACCUCGCGAGAGCAAGCGGACCUCAUAAAGUGCGUCGUAGUCCGGAUUGGAGUCUGCAACUCGACUCCAUGAAGUCGGAAUCGCUAGUAAUCGUGGAUCAGAAUGCCACGGUGAAUACGUUCCCGGGCCUUGUACACACCGCCCGUCACACCAUGGGAGUGGGUUGCAAAAGAAGUAGGUAGCUUAACCUUCGGGAGGGCGCUUACCACUUUGUGAUUCAUGACUGGGGUGAAGUCGUAACAAGGUAACCGUAGGGGAACCUGCGGUUGGA
rnacentral:rRNA from 1 species